AAAAAACAAAAAAUAUUCACUUAUAUAAAUCCAACAAUAUGGGUUGGAUGUUUCUACCAAGCUGCCGAAAAUAGCUAUAGGACUAUAAGUGUCUGCUAAAAAUUA
rnacentral:ncRNA from 2 species